rnacentral:rRNA from 1 species
GACGAACGCUGGCGGCGUGCCUAACACAUGCAAGUCGAACGAAGUAUGUUUUUCGGAAUAUACUUAGUGGCGGACGGGUGAGUAACGCGUGAACAAUCUGCCCUAUACAGAGGAAUAGCCUCGGGAAACCGGGAUUAAAACCGCAUGAAACUAUAGUAUCGCAUGAUACAUUAGUCAAAUUGAUUAAGAGGUAUAGGAUGAGUUCGCGUCUGAUUAGCUAGUUGGUGGGGUAAAGGCCUACCAAGGCGACGAUCAGUAGCCGGCCUGAGAGGGUGAACGGCCACACUGGAACUGAGACACGGUCCAGACUCCUACGGGAGGCAGCAGUGGGGAAUAUUGCACAAUGGAGGAAACUCUGAUGCAGCGACGCCGCGUGAGUGAAGAAGGUCUUCGGAUCGUAAAACUCUGUCCUUGGUGAAGAUAAUGACGGUAGCCAAGGAGGAAGCCCCGGCUAACUACGUGCCAGCAGCCGCGGUAAUACGUAGGGGGCGAGCGUUGUCCGGAUUUACUGGGCGUAAAGGGUGAGUAGGCGGUAAUAUGUGUCAGAUGUAAAAGGCUAAGGCUUAACCAUAGUUAGCAUUUGAAACUGUAUUACUUGAGUGCAGGAGAGGUAAGUGGAAUUCCUAGUGUAGCGGUGAAAUGCGUAGAUAUUAGGAGGAACACCAGUGGCGAAGGCGACUUACUGGACUGUAACUGACGCUGAGUCACGAAAGCGUGGGUAGCAAACAGGAUUAGAUACCCUGGUAGUCCACGCCGUAAACGAUGAGUGCUAGGUGUUGGGUAGCGAUACUCAGUGCCGAAGUAAACACAAUAAGCACUCCGCCUGGGGAGUACGGUCGCAAGACUGA